AUGAAAAUCCAAGAAGGACGGGGAGGAUUGAUCUAUAUAUCUUUGCCAUUCAGCUUGAAAAAGUAUGUUCCGUCUAGGACAGAGAACCAUGAUUAUCACCACUGUUGGAGGAAAAAGCUAGAGCAAUUAUGUUUCUACUUUCAUGCAUUAUGGUUGUCUAUUCUGGGAAGGAUAGAGUUAAAUGGAGUUAGUAAGACCAUAUUUGAUGCUGAUCAUAAGAUACUAACGGGCUCCAUGGCUAUAUGUCCUAUGCUCCUCUUGACGACAUAUAUGAGGACUCGCAACCCUGAGCCUGGAAGACAACCGUUAAGGCGGUGGUCAUGGGGCAACGAUAGUCGAUAG
rnacentral:rRNA from 1 species